rnacentral:rRNA from 1 species
UGCGCAGGCGGGCUUGUAAGUCAGUGGUGAAAUACUGCCGCUUAACGGUAGAACUGCCAUUGAUACUGCGAGUCUUGAAUAUGGUUGAGGUAGGCGGAAUGUGUUGUGUAGCGGUGAAAUGCAUAGAUAUGACACAGAACGCCGAUUGCGAAGUCAGCUUACUAAGCCAUUAUUGACGCUGAGGCACGAAAGCGUGGGGAGCGAACAGGAUUAGAUACCCUGGUAGUCC